UUCCUUGCCUUAUUUCUUCGUUCUUCUUCCUUUCAUUAUUUAAUUUCUUCCUAUCCAAGUCUUACGGUCAUUGCUUCCCAUGCUGCUGUCGGGCCACUUCAGGAACAAUGCGUCGUGGCGAGGCGGGCAAAGGGCUUUGAGAAGACCCCUCAUAGUCCUCCCUAUUUUCUAUUGAUAUGAGUGAGAUAACAAGCGUGCGGCUGAUUUGGAUAAUUGCACAAGCAUGCGACAGGUGUCAAAGAUAAGGGCAAGAACUAUUAAUGUAGGCACUGGUGCAGGACUUUCGCUACUAUAAUACUAUUUAUCUGGAAAAGAAGAAGAUAGAGUAUAGCUAGAGCUACGAGUCUAUACUACUGCUAAGGAUAAUCUAGAGCUACACUAGGUAACUAAGAGCAAGAAAUUUAAAGGAUAAAAGGAAUGAUAAAUUAAGGAUAGAGAUAAAGAUAACAAUUGGUUGUUCGAUUAGCAGAAGUAUCCUUUUUCGGUAUUGCAAUUUGAUAUUUAUAAGUAGAUCACUACCUAACUUUUGAUACUUGUUCUCAUUGGUUCGUGCCACAUGGUCCACUAUUAUCAUACAUAGUUGAUUCUUCUCUCUGCUAUGAGUAUGAUUUUCUUGAUCUAAAUCGAGCAGGAGGAUGGAUAAGGGAGAAGAUGGAUAGGUCUUCCAUCC
rnacentral:lncRNA from 1 species